rnacentral:rRNA from 1 species
AUUGAACGCUAGCGGGAUGCUUUACACAUGCAAGUCGAACGGCAGCGCGGACUUCGGUCUGGCGGCGAGUGGCGAACGGGUGAGUAAUGUAUCGGAACGUGCCCAGUAGCGGGGGAUAACUACGCGAAAGCGUAGCUAAUACCGCAUACGCCCUGCGGGGGAAAGCAGGGGAUCGUAAGACCUUGCACUAUUGGAGCGGCCGAUAUCGGAUUAACUAGUUGGUGAGGUAACGGCUCACCAAGGCGACGAUCCGUAGCUGGUUUGAGAGGACGACCAGCCACACUGGGACUGAGACACGGCCCAGACUCCUACGGGAGGCAGCAGUGGGGAAUUUUGGACAAUGGGGGCAACCCUGAUCCAGCCAUCCCGCGUGUGCGAUGAAGGCCUUCGGGUUGUAAAGCACUUUUGGCAGGAAAGAAACGUCGCGGGCUAAUACCCCGUGGAACUGACGGUACCUGCAGAAUAAGCACCGGCUAACUACGUG